CUUUUACCCGUCUCAUUUAGGGGAUGGGAACAACAUGUCUUCACCUAGGGACUUUAGAGCAGAGUCUGGUUUUUGAAAAUAAAGUUAACUCAGAGAAGGUAAAACUUUCUCUUUGGAAUUUCCCACGUAAUGAUUAUGAAGAUGUUUUUGAAGAGCCUUCAGAAAGUGGCAGUGAUCCCAGCAUGUGGACAGCCAGAGGCCCCUUCAGAAGAGACAGGUGGAGCAGUGAGGAUGAGGAGGCUGCAGGGCCGUCACAGGCUCUCUCCCCUCUACUUUCUGGUAUGACAUCAUCCUAUUUGUAGUAGCAAGUUGAGGCUCUAUUUUAGAGAUAUGCACAAAGAUAUUUCUAAUACAAAUGAGGGAAAGAGCUAGGGAAAACUUCAAAAAAUGGGAAAAUAUGGUUUUCUAGGAUUUUCUUUUAAAAAUAAAAAAAUGCAAUUAAAAAAA
rnacentral:sRNA from 1 species